rnacentral:rRNA from 1 species
GUAGCAAUAACUUCAGCGGCCAGACGGGUGAGUAACGCGUGGGAACGUACCUUUUGGUUCGGAACAACACAGGGAAACUUGUGCUAAUACCGGAUAAGCCCUUACGGGGAAAGAUUUAUCGCCGAAAGAUCGGCCCGCGUCUGAUUAGCUAGUUGGUGAGGUAAUGGCUCACCAAGGCGACGAUCAGUAGCUGGUCUGAGAGGAUGAUCAGCCACAUUGGGACUGAGACACGGCCCAAACUCCUACGGGAGGCAGCAGUGGGGAAUAUUGGACAAUGGGCGCAAGCCUGAUCCAGCCAUGCCGCGUGAGUGAUGAGGGCCCUAGGGUUGUAAAGCUCUUUUGUGCGGGAAGAUAAUGACGGUACCGCAAGAAU